rnacentral:rRNA from 1 species
UACAGAGGUCCCGAGCGUUGUUCGGAUUCACUGGGCGUAAAGGGCGCGUAGGUGGCCCGACAAGUCGCUGGUGAAAGCUCGACGCUCAACGUCGAGUCGGCCAGUGAUACUGUUGGGCUGGAGCACUGUAGAGGCUCAUGGAAUUCCGGGUGUAGCGGUGAAAUGCUUAGAGAUGACAUAGAACACCCAUUGCGAAGGCAGCUUACUACGCCUAUAUUGACGCUGAGGCACGAAAGCGUGGGGAUCAAACAGG